rnacentral:rRNA from 1 species
GACGAACCGUGCGACCGUUGUUCGGAUUCACUGGGCUUAAAGGGCGCGUAGGCGGGUUGUCAAGUCAGGGGUGAAAGCCUCCAGCUUAACUGGAGAAGUGCCUUUGAUACUGAUGAUCUUGAGGGAGGUAGGGGCAUGUGGAACUUCCGGUGGAGCGGUGAAAUGCGUAGAUAUCGGAAGGAACGCCGGUGGCGAAAGCGACGUGCUGGACCUCUUCUGACGCUGAGGCGCGAAAGCUAGGGGAGCAAACGGG